rnacentral:rRNA from 1 species
UCGAGAAUCUUCGGCAAUGGGCGCAAGCCUGACCGAGCGACGCCGCGUGGGGGAUGAAGGCCUUCGGGUUGUAAACCCCUGUCGGGGGGGAACAAGGGGCGGCGAAGAGCCGCCCUUGAGUGAUCCCCGGAGGAAGCACGGGCUAAGUUCGUGCCAGCAGCCGCGGUAAGACGAACCGUGCGAACGUUAUUCGGAAUUACUGGGCUUAAAGCGCGUGUAGGCGGGCCGGCACGUCCGGUGCUGAAAGCCCCCGGCUCAACCGGGGAACUGGCACGGAUACGACCGGCCUCGAGGGGGGUAGGGGGACCUGGAACUUCCGGUGGAGCGGUGAAAUGCGUUGAGAUCGGAAGGAACGCCCGUGGCGAAAGCGAGGUCCUGGGCCCUUACUGACGCUGAGACGCGAAAGCCAGGGGAGCGAACGGGAUUAGAUACCCCUGUAGUCC